rnacentral:ncRNA from 2 species
AAACGUUCACUCCGCACCUCGCGGAGCGCAGUUCGACUCAGGCCAUGGAACGGGGACCUGAG